rnacentral:rRNA from 1 species
AGAGUUUGAUCCUGGCUCAGGACGAACGCUGGCGGCGUGCUUCACACAUGCAAGUCGAGCGAGGCCCUUCCUUCGGGAAGGUGCCCUAGCGGCGAACGGGUGAGUAACACGUGGGCAACCUGCCCCUAGCUCUGGGAUAAGCCCGGGAAACCGGGUCUAAUACCGGAUAUCACUUCUUCAGGCAUCUGCAGGAGUUGAAAGAUUCAUCGGCUAGGGAUGGGCCCGCGGCCUAUCAGCUUGUUGGUGGGGUAACGGCCCACCAAGGCGACGACGGGUAGCCGGCCUGAGAGGGCGACCGGCCACACUGGGACUGAGACACGGCCCAGACUCCUACGGGGGGCAGCAGUGGGGAAUCUUGCACAAUGGGCGAAAGCCUGAUGCAGCGACGCCGCGUGAGGGAUGACGGCCUUCGGGUUGUAAACCUCUUUCAGCAGGGACGAAGCGAAAGUGACGGUACCUGCAGAAGAAGGACCGGCCAACUACGUG